CAGCCAAAUCACAUUGAAACACUGGUUCCUCUAUGAUCACUGGUUAAGCAACACUGGGUCUGGUCAGUACCUAGGUGGGUGACCUCUUGGGAAUACCAGGAGCUGUG